rnacentral:rRNA from 1 species
GACGAACGCUGGCGGCGUGCCUAACACAUGCAAGUCGAGCGGUAAGGCUCCUUCGGGGGUGCACGAGCGGCGUACGGGUGAGUAACACGCCUGCAAUCUGCCCAUCACAACCGGAUAACUCCGGGUAACCGAAGCGAAUACCCACUACGACCACCACCGUCAUCGGUUGGGGGCGGAAGGUUGCGACGGUGGUGGAUGAGCUAGCGGCCUGUCCGCUUGUUGGUGGGGUACGGGCCCACCAAGGCGUCGGCGGGUAGCCGGCCUGAGAGGGGGACCGGCCACACUGGGACUGAGAUAAGGCACAGACUCCUACGGGAGGCAGGGGUGGGGAAUGUUGGACAAGGGGCGAAAGGCUGAUCCAGCAACGCCGCGUGGGGGAUGACGGCAUUCGGGUUGUAAUCCACUUUCAGCAGGGACGAAGCGAAAGUGACGGUACCUGCAGAAGAAGCCCCGGCCAACUACGUG